rnacentral:sRNA from 1 species
CUCGGACUCUGACGGGUAGUGAACUCGGGGCCGCCGGGCUCCAGAGUCCCUCGGGUCUCAGGUCAUGGCGAUCCCGGGGCCCGCGCCCGGAGCUGGCGCCAGGCCCAGGUUAGAUCUGCAAUUUCUCCAGCGGUUCCUGCAGAUACUGAAGGUUUUGUUUCCUUCUUGGUCGUCACAGAAUGCCUUGAUGUUCCUGACCCUUUUGUGCCUGACCCUCCUGGAGCAAUUUGUGAUCUACCGGGUUGGCUUGAUCCCCAGUCAGUACUAUGGGGUCCUGGGAAACAAAGACUUGGAAGGGUUUAAGACUCUGACAUUCCUGGCUGUCAUGCUCAUUGUUCUGAACUCCACGGUAAGAUCUUUCUCUCUCUCUGUGUCUCUCUUCCUCUCCAGUCCAGUGUGAGCGUAAUGCCUAGUGGAACUUAGCCUCCAGGAAACAGGAAGCAAGCUGUGGGGGUGUGUUUCCUCCCUUUUCUGGGAACUAAAGGGAUAGUUGCCUUUAUUAAGCACAUUGAUCUUGCUAUUGGCCCAAGUGGGACUGAUUCCUCAGAUGUUUCCACUCCAGGGCCCAGGCCACAGGUUCUGGUUUAAUUCAGCAUUUAGCAGAACUGAUCAUUGCCCCUUUCCUUCCUAGAACCCUUGUUUCCGGCAGCUCAUUAAAACGGCUCGGCAGCCAGAGCUGCUGCUGCUCCUCUGCAGGACCGAGGCCGUGACUCACCCUG